rnacentral:tRNA from 1 species
GGGGUUGUGGCUCAGGGGUAGAAUACCCACCUAGCAUGUGUGAGGCACUGGGUUUGAUCCUCAGCACCACA